rnacentral:rRNA from 1 species
UAAACUAGGAUUAGAUACCCUAUUAUUAUAUAUGUUAAUUAUUUUACUAAGGUAGUAAUAGGUAUGUUCUUUAAAUCUAAAGAAUUUGGCGGUGUUUUAGUCUAUUUAGAGGAAUUUGUUUUGUAAUCGAUAAUCCUCGUUUUAUCUUGCUUUAUUUUGUAGAUCAGUAUGUAUACCGCCGUUAUAAGUUUAUUUUAUUAGAAUAAAAAUUUACUUUAUUUUUUAUUUUAAAUUAUUUCAGG